AUUGAACGCUGGCGGCAUGCUUUACACAUGCAAGUCGAGCGGCAGCGUGGGGGCAACCCUGGCGGCGAGCGGCGAACGGGUGAGUAAUGCAUCGGAACGUACCCUGGAGUGGGGGAUAACGCCGCGAAAGCGGCGCUAAUACCGCAUAUGCUCUGAGGAGGAAAGUGGGGGACCCGCAAGGGCCUCACGCUCCGGGCGCGGCCGAUGUCCGAUUAGCUAGUUGGUGGGGUAAAGGCUUACCAAGGCGGCGAUAGGUAGCUGGUCUGAGGGGAUGGUGAGCCACACUGGGACUAAGACACGGCCCAGACUCCUACGGGAGGCAGCAGUGGGGAAUUUUGGACAAUGGGGGCAACCCUGAUCCAGCCAUGCCGCGUGAGUGAAGAAGGCCUUCGGGUUGUAAAGCUCUUUUGGUCGGGAAGAAAGUGCCCUGCCUAAUACGCGGGGUAUUUGACGGUACCGGCAGAAUAAGCACCGGCUAACUACGUGCCAGCCGCCGCGGUAAAAC
rnacentral:rRNA from 1 species